GAUUAACGCUGGCGGUGCGCCUUAUACAUGCAAGUCGAACGGUCCGCAAGGACAGUGGCGAACGGGUGAGUAACACAUGGGUAACCUACCUCAAAGUGGGGAAUAACCCCGCGAAAGCGGGGCUAAUACCGCAUAAGCUCACGAGGUGCAAAUCCUCGCGAGAAAAGAUUUAUCGCUUUGAGAGGGGCCUGUGCCCGAUUAGCUUGUUGGUGGGGUAAUGGCCUACCAAGGCUGUGAUCGGUAGAUGGACUGAGAGGUUGACCAUCCACACUGGAACUGAGACACGGUCCAGACUCCUACGGGUGGCAG
rnacentral:rRNA from 1 species